rnacentral:rRNA from 1 species
UUCCGGAGCUAACGCGUUAAAUCGACCGCCUGGGGAGUACGGCCGCAAGGUUAAAACUCAAAUGAAUUGACGGGGGCCCGCACAAGCGGUGGAGCAUGUGGUUUAAUUCGAUGCAACGCGAAGAACCUUACCUACUCUUGACAUCCAGAGAACUUUCCAGAGAUGGAUUGGUGCCUUCGGGAACUCUGAGACAGGUGCUGCAUGGCUGUCGUCAGCUCGUGUUGUGAAAUGUUGGGUUAAGUCCCGCAACGAGCGCAACCCUUAUCCUUUGUUGCCAGCGGUUCGGCCGGGAACUCAAAGGAGACUGCCAGUGAUAAACUGGAGGAAGGUGGGGAUGACGUCAAGUCAUCAUGGCCCUUACGAGUAGGGCUACACACGUGCUACAAUGGCGUAUACAAAGAGAAGCGACCUCGCGAGAGCAAGCGGACCUCAUAAAGUACGUCGUAGUCCGGAUUGGAGUCUGCAACUCGACUCCAUGAAGUCGGAAUCGCUAGUAAUCGUAGAUCAGAAUGCUACGGUGAAUACGUUCCCGGGCCUUGUACACACCGCCCGUCACACCAUGGGAGUGGGUUGCAAAAGAAGUAGGUAGCUUAACCUUCGGGAGGGCGC